rnacentral:rRNA from 1 species
AGGGUUCGAUUCUGGCUCAGGAUGAACGCUGGCGGCGUGCUUAACACAUGCAAGUCGAACGGGAUCCAUCAGGCUUUGCUUGGUGGUGAGAGUGGCGAACGGGUGAGUAAUGCGUGACCGACCUGCCCCAUACACCGGAAUAGCUCCUGGAAACGGGUGGUAAUGCCGGAUGCUCCAGUUGAUCGCAUGGUCUUCUGGGAAAGCUUUCGCGGUAUGGGAUGGGGUCGCGUCCUAUCAGCUUGACGGCGGGGUAACGGCCCACCGUGGCUUCGACGGGUAGCCGGCCUGAGAGGGCGACCGGCCACAUUGGGACUGAGAUACGGCCCAGACUCCUACGGGAGGCAGCAGUGGGGAAUAUUGCACAAUGGGCGCAAGCCUGAUGCAGCGACGCCGCGUGCGGGAUGACGGCCUUCGGGUUGUAAACCGCUUUUGAUCGGGAGCAAGCCUUCGGGUGAGUGUACCUUUCGAAUAAGCACCGGCUAACUACGUGCCAGCAGCCGCGGUAAUACGUAGGGUGCAAGCGUUAUCCGGAAUUAUUGGGCGUAAAGGGCUCGUAGGCGGUUCGUCGCGUCCGGUGUGAAAGUCCAUCGCUUAACGGUGGAUCCGCGCCGGGUACGGGCGGGCUUGAGUGCGGUAGGGGAGACUGGAAUUCCCGGUGUAACGGUGGAAUGUGUAGAUAUCGGGAAGAACACCAAUGGCGAAGGCAGGUCUCUGGGCCGUUACUGACGCUGAGGAGCGAAAGCGUGGGGAGCGAACAGGAUUAGAUACCCUGGUAGUCCACGCCGUAAACGGUGGAUGCUGGAUGUGGGGCCCGUUCCACGGGUUCCGUGUCGGAGCUAACGCGUUAAGCAUCCCGCCUGGGGAGUACGGCCGCAAGGCUAAAACUCAAAGAAAUUGACGGGGGCCCGCACAAGCGGCGGAGCAUGCGGAUUAAUUCGAUGCAACGCGAAGAACCUUACCUGGGCUUGACAUGUUCCCGACAGCCGCAGAGAUGCGGCCUCCCUUCGGGGCGGGUUCACAGGUGGUGCAUGGUCGUCGUCAGCUCGUGUCGUGAGAUGUUGGGUUAAGUCCCGCAACGAGCGCAACCCUCGCCCUGUGUUGCCAGCACGUCAUGGUGGGAACUCACGGGGGACCGCCGGGGUCAACUCGGAGGAAGGUGGGGAUGACGUCAGAUCAUCAUGCCCCU